UGCGAAGGGGGCUAGCGUUGUUCGGAAUUACUGGGCGUAAAGCGCACGUAGGCGGACUAUUAAGUCAGGGGUGAAAUCCCGGGGCUCAACCCCGGAACUGCCUUUGAUACUGGUAGUCUCGAGUCCGGAAGAGGUGAGUGGAAUUCCGAGUGUAGAGGUGAAAUUCGUAGAUAUUAGGAAGAACACCAGUGGCGAAGGCGGCUCACUGGCUCGGUACUGACGCUGAGGCGCGAAAGCGUGGGGAGCAAACAGG
rnacentral:rRNA from 1 species